rnacentral:rRNA from 1 species
GGGGAAUUUUGGACAAUGGGCGCAAGCCUGAUCCAGCAAUGCCGCGUGCAGGAAGAAGGCCUUCGGGUUGUAAACUGCUUUUGUCAGGGAAGAAAUCCUCUGGGUUAAUACCUCGGGGGGAUGACGGUACCUGAAGAAUAAGCACCGGCUAACUACGUGCCAGCAGCCGCGGUAAUACGUAGGGUGCGAGCGUUAAUCGGAAUUACUGGGCGUAAAGCGUGCGCAGGCGGUUGUGCAAGACAGGUGUGAAAUCCCCGGGCUUAACCUGGGAACUGCACUUGUGACUGCACGGCUAGAGUACGGUAGAGGGGGAUGGAAUUCCGCGUGUAGCAGUGAAAUGCGUAGAUAUGCGGAGGAACACCGAUGGCGAAGGCAAUCCCCUGGACCUGUACUGACGCUCAUGCACGAAAGCGUGGGGAGCAAACA